rnacentral:misc_RNA from 1 species
CGAGAAUCAUCAUAGCUUCAGCAGGACUUCUGCCACUUCUUAGCAGUAAUUCAGCAGUACUGUCAAGGUUUGCUGAAUCAGAUGCUUUAGGAUCACCAAAUGGACGUAUUUCAUGCUCACGCCCACGCCAUACAGGAGAUUGUAGUGUGGCUUCCCUUGAUCGCAUCCAGUUCAAGUUCCCCUGUAUUGUAUUAAUCUCUCCAUUGUGUCCAAGUAACCUCAUAGGUUGAGCAAGAGGCCAUCUAGGGCUUGUAUUGGUACUGUAUCUUCGAUGGUAUAUGGCAAAAGGUGAUUUGUAGAGUUCAUUCUGAAGGUCCAAAUAGAAUUGCCCAAGAAUCUCAGAUCGAAGCAUCCCCUUGUAGACUAUAGUUCUGCUUGACAAAGAACAGAAAUAAAGUUCAUCUGCCCAACUAGCAGAUUUUG